UACGUAGGGGGCAAGCGUUGUCCGGAUUUAUUGGGCGUAAAGAGCGUGUAGGCGGUUUGGUAGGUCCGCUGUGAAAACUCGAGGCUCAACCUCGAGAUGUCGGCGGAAACCGUCUGGCUAGAGUCCGGAAGAGGAGAGUGGAAUUCCUGGUGUAGCGGUGAAAUGCGCAGAUAUCAGGAAGAACACCUAUGGCGAAGGCAGCUCUCUGGGACGGUACUGACGCUGAGACGCGAAAGCGUGGGGAGCGAAACAGG
rnacentral:rRNA from 1 species